rnacentral:rRNA from 1 species
UGGGGAAUAUUGGACAAUGGGGGCAACCCUGAUCCAGCGAUGCCGCGUGGGUGAAGAAGGCCUUCGGGUUGUAAAGCCCUUUAGGUUGGGAAGAAGGUAGUUGGGGGAAUAUCCCAGCUAUUUGACUGUACCGACAGAAUAAGCACCGGCAAACUCUGUGCCAGCAGCCGCGGUAAUACAGAGGGUGCGAGCGUUAAUCGGAUUUACUGGGCGUAAAGGGCGCGUAGGCGGUUAUAUGUGUGGGAUGUGAAAGCCCCGGGCUCAACCUGGGAAGUGCAUACCAAACUAUAUAACUGGAGUAUGUGAGAGGGUGGCGGAAUUUCCGGUGUAGCGGUGAAAUGCGUAGAGAUCGGAAGGAACGUCAAUGGCGAAGGCAGCCACCUGGCACAAUACUGACGCUGAGGCGCGAAAGCGUGGGGAGCAAACAGGAUUAGAUACCCCCGUAGUCCCUGAGCGGGCUGGCAAGGCGCAU